CCUACGGGUGGCAGCAGUGGGGAAUAUUCGGCCAUGGGCGCAAGCCUGACCCAGCAACGCCGCGUGAAGGAAGAAGGCUUUCGGGUUGUAAACUUCUGUUGUCAGGGAAGAGUAGAAGACGGUGCCUGACGAAUAAGCCACGGCUAACUACGUGCCAGCAGCCGCGGUAAUCCGUAUGGUGCCAGCGUUGUCCGGAUUUACUGGGUGUAAAGGGCGUGUAGCCGGGUUGACAAGUCCGAUGGGAAAUCCUGCGGCUUAACCGAAGAAAUGCAUUUGAAACUGUUGAUCUUGAGUACUGGAGAGGAAGACGGAAUUCCUAGUGUAGCGGUGAAAUGCGUAGAUAUUAGGAGGAACACCAGUGGCGAAGGCGGUCUGCUGGACAGCAACUGACGGUGAGGCGCGAAAGCGUGGGGAGCAAACAGGAUUAGAUACCCUUGUAGUC
rnacentral:rRNA from 1 species